GAUGAAUACAGAGAACAAUUUGCCUCCAUGCGUUCUUCCUGAGGGUGGAGACACGGUGUUUAAAUACAAGCUGUUUCUUUGAAAGGCUGAGGUGCUGAUCUCCAGCGGAGAAUGGAGGUGAUGUUCUGUAUACUGUAGUCCACACACAGUGGGACAAAGCAGGAGCAGAUCAGCCAAAUGUAGUCAGGCAAGCAUGCUGGUCCGCUACUAUACAGCUACUUGUUUAACAGGACAGGAAUACAGUGAGACAGUGGUCAACAUGAACAGAAUAGUGUGUGUCUUAUUUGAACAAUAAAAUGCAUUGUGAAUAAUACAUAUAGUGACUUUUAUCACAUUUAAAAAGGAACUACAUGAUUUGUCACAAUUAUUGAUACAGUUGCUAAUUUCCCUAUGAUUAUCAAGGCAUAAGAAUAUAGAUGCAGUCUUAAUGCAUUAAGGGGUUAAUUGGAGGUGUUUUCAAUUGGGUUUUCACAAUGCAUGCAAAACAUGUGGAAGGCGUUUAACCAGAUCUAGUCCCAACAGGCAACAGCUGUGAUAUCUAUCUCUCUAAUAUGAACAGGUAUAUAGUAUAUUGCAUAGUCAAAUAUAUAUGUUGAAUGGCUCGGUGGAAGAUUGGCUGGAGUUGUGGUGUGCCCUUUAAAAAAAAAAAUCUUCAGGGACUUUCAAAUUCAGUCUCCUCGAUGGUGACGUCACCGAUGUUCAGAAUAUUGACAGGCCACCUGUCGGGCGAGCUGCUCUUUAAAGCGGCAGGACUGUAACAACGCUAGACUUCUCUCUCUACACAUGGCAACGAGACGGCCCGUCAUCUUUCUUCCUCAACAGAUAGCAAGAGAGUCAGCGACAAGUAAACAGAGGAACAGAGCAGUGACGCGUGAGGCAUCAGCAAACCAGGGAGGAUUGAAGGAAGAAAUGCACGCUGUGUCUAAGUACUCUGAAGGCUAAACAGAUAUGUGCAAGCAGGGAUGCAUCUGCCAGGAGCACAUCACGAGAAAUUCAGUCUCAGCUCUAACCUUGAAGAGGGCAAUCUGCUUCUGAAAGAGCAGCUCUUUAGAAGCGCCACAGGGUACAGAAAACACACACAUACACAAAAACAGGUCUAAAUGUAUUUAUAUGUGUGUGUGGGUGUGUGUGUGUCUGAGAGAGUGUGCAUGUGUGCGCGUGUGUGUGAGAGAGAGAAUGGAUGCCAUUUAAAGAGAGACAUUUGAAGUGCAGUCCUAGUAGUUAAUGCCCGAGUGGCCGGUUUGUAUGUGUGUCCCCAUGGAGCCCAGGGGAGGAGCCCCAGCAUCUGAACUGUCCUUUCAUCAGCCUGUCAGGGCAGGGAGCUGGUCACCCACACUGAGAAAGAGCACCCAGACUCCUCAUCACCACACAACUCAGAUAUAUAUAGAGAAAGAAGAAAUCCACAACAGCCGAGAUGAAAUGAGACAGGAAAGAACACAGCUGAUCAGAGGAAGGGAGAGCAAACAAUCCCUCCAAAUGCACUAAUCUUUCUCUGCUCCAAUAAAAACAAACCUGUUCAAUGUCAG
rnacentral:lncRNA from 1 species